AGAAUCAACGCUGGCGGCGUGCCUAACACAUGCAAGUCGAACGAGAAAGGGACUUCGGUCCUGAGUAAAGUGGCGCACGGGUGAGUAACACGUGACUAACCUACCUUUGAGUGGGGGAUAACCUAGGGAAACCUGGGCUAAUACCGCAUAAUACCUACGGGUCAAAGCGAGCAAUCGCGCUUUAAGAGGGGGUCGCGGCAGAUUAGCUAGUUGGUGAGGUAAUGGCUCACCAAGGCGAUGAUCUGUAUCCGGCCUGAGAGGGCGCACGGACACACUGGAACUGAAACACGGUCCAGACUCCUACGGGAGGCAGCAGUGGGGAAUUUUGCGCAAUGGGGGAAACCCUGACGCAGCAACGCCGCGUGGAGGAUGAAAUCCCUUGGGAUGUAAACUCCUUUCGAUCGGGACGAUAAUGACGGUACCGAUAGAAGAACGCCCGGACUAACUUCGCGCCAGCAGCCGC
rnacentral:rRNA from 1 species